UACUAACAUUGGAGGUCAUGCUGUCAAGCUUAUUGGCUGGGGAACAUCUGAUGAUGGCGAAGAUUAUUGGUUGCUUGCAAAUCAAUGGAACCGAAGCUGGGGUGAUGAUGGCUACUUCAAGAUCAAGAGAGGAACAAACGAAUGUGGCAUCAAACACGGUGUUGUAGCCAGUUUACCUUCGGGCAAGAACGUA